rnacentral:rRNA from 1 species
AUGAAAACACGACAUAUGACACACGAUGCAACAUGUCGCAUCUGUGGGAGGGAAGAUGAAGAUACUUUCCAUGCGCUAGUUCGUUGCACCCAAGCGCAGCUGCUCUGGGAGGUGAUGCGUGAAGUUUGGGACCUGCCGAGGGACGACAUGUUGCGGACGGAUGGACACGAAUGGCUACUGCAGAUCCUAGCGAGACAAACUGAGACCCAACGUUCGCUGCUGCUAAUGCUUCUGUGGAGGAUCUGGCAUGUCCACAAUGAACUUACACACAAUAAGCCGGCUCCGCCAGCUGAGAGCUCCCGUAGAUUUCUGUGUAGUUAUAUGGACACGCUGAUGUAUAUAAAGCAACAUCCAACAGCAGACGUAGUGAAAGGAAAGGAAACAGUGUCAUACAUAUCAAUGAGUAACCAGGACAAGCAUAAGAGAGAUGGCCGAAAGAAAAUCAGGAAGAAGUGGCAGCCGCCUGAGGAAGGGAGGAUGAAGUUGAAUGUUGAUGGGGCAUAUGCAAAUGAUGGAACAGCAGGCGCAGGUAUGAUCCUCCGCGACUACACGGGAGCCGUGAUCUUCGCGGCAAGCCGACAGAUACAUGUUGGCAUCGAUGCACUCGACUCGGAGCUUGCAACGAUGGAGGAGGGCCUCGCCCUCGCGCUGCACUGGACUCCGGAUGCCUUCACUCUAGAAUCAGACUGUGUGGAGGCCAUCAAGCUAUUGGAUGUGAGAAGUCCGAACUCGUCCAUCUAUGCAUCAAGGAUCAGUGUGAUUCGGGAGCUCAUCAGGGAAAGAGAUAUUCAGGUAGCCCAAAUCAGCCGUGAUGCUAACAAGGCAAGUCACGAGCUGGCUAGACUAGGUAGAGUACAAGGCAGAACUGCCGUUUGGCUUAGAAACUACCCUCCAGAAAUCGCUGAGGCGAUUUGUGCUGAUUGUACUCAUACCCCAGUUUAA